rnacentral:tRNA from 1 species
AUCGUCGUAGCUCAGUGGUUAAAGUAUUGGGCUUCUGAACCACAGAUGAUAAGUUCGAAUCUGUUUGGAGUUU